rnacentral:lncRNA from 1 species
UUGGGCUUGUAACAUAUCAGAUUUUGAUAUAAAAGUAAAAACAAUAAAUAAAAAUAGUGUGAGAUACUAUUUUUGUAGGAUUUAGAGAAGUAAAAUAUAAGUCAGAAAUGACUUGUGCUGAAAUCGAAACGAAAACAGAAAAUUUAGAAUUUUUUGUUGGAAACGGGACUGAUAUUUUAGCAGAAAACGCACAGUGUCAUAAAAUUACGAAAACUGGAGAAUGUGUCAGAAUUAUUUUUAUGAGGCUAGAUUUGAAGUUUCAUGUCAUUCUGACACCCGGAAGGUGGAAAAUAAAAUGCGACUGCUAUCUCCUAGAGAUUACAGUUCGGUAGAGCUUUCGGUGACCAAAUGUGGUCGAAACUGAAAACUUAAGAUAUAUUCUUUCUUAGUAAGGAAAACUGAGCAUGACUGUCAAAUUUGAGCUCAAACGGACAUUCAGAUGGGCUACGACU